AAAGAGUUAACGUGGAUGUUCACUGAAGAAGCAUUUGUAAUGAAAAUGGCAAGAGCAAACAUCCUUUGAUUCAGCUGAAGCAGCCAAGUCCUCCUGAUUCCAAAGAGCCUAGAGUAGUGCGAGGACAUUGCUCUCAGAAGGAGGGAGAACAUCUUCAGCCAGUCCAUAUUCUGCCUGACUAUUUCCAUCUUGGGCCUGAUGUUUUUGGAAUUCUGUGGAAGUUGACCGUUAUUAUUACUUCUUUGGGAACUUCUGCAUUUUUCAUUUUCCUCUGGAGAACUGUCCUUGCUGUGAGUAUACUAAAGUACUUUAUGGAUAGAC